rnacentral:piRNA from 1 species
UAGAGCACAGUCGAGGCAUGGAGUAU